CAUACUUUGUUUUAUUGUAAAAAGCAAUGGUUUCUAGAACACGUUUAUAAUUGUCUUCUACUUGUAUACUUGUAUGUUUGAUGCUUGGAAGGAGGACUUUUACUUUUCUGAUUUAUAUAAAUUUGAGGAAAACAAAGUCAUCUUGUCCUUUUUCCCCUUGAGCAUCGAGUUUCAUCUUUCUCCAUAUAAGGAAAACUAUUCAAAAUAUAUUCUGUUUGGACAUCAACUCCAAACCAAAACUUA
rnacentral:misc_RNA from 1 species